CGUGUAGGCGGCUCGGUAAGUCCGCUGUGAAAGUCCAGGGCUCAACCCUGGAAAGCCGGUGGAAACUGUCGGGCUAGAGUCCGGAAGAGGCGAGUGGAAUUCCUGGUGUAGCGGUGAAAUGCGCAGAUAUCAGGAGGAACACCAAUAGCGAAGGCAGCUCGCUGGGACGGUACUGACGCUGAGACGCGAAAGCGUGGGGAGCAAACAGGAUUAGAUACCCUGGUAGUCCACGCCGUAAACGAUGGGCACUAGGUGUGGGGGGGUGUCGACUCCCUCCGUGCCGACGCUAACGCAUUAAGUGCCCCGCCUGGGGAGUACGGCCGCAAGGCUAAA
rnacentral:rRNA from 1 species